rnacentral:rRNA from 1 species
UACGGGGGGGAGCAAGCGUUGUUCGGAUUACUGGGCGUAAAGGGCGCGUAGGCGGCCAGCACAAGUCAGUUGUGAAAUCUCCGGGCUUAACUCGGAAAGGUCAACUGAUACUGUGCGACUAGAGUGCGGAAGGGGCAACUGGAAUUCUCGGUGUAGCGGUGAAAUGCGUAGAUAUCGAGAGGAACACCUGCGGCGAAGGCGGGUUGCUGGGCUGACACUGACGCUGAUGCGCGAAAGCCAGGGGAGCGAACGGG